UCUAGAAAGCUCAGGUGCUGGUGGGUAGCUUUCAAAAGGCGGCAGGGAACAGCGGCCCGCAGAGAGCCAACUCGGAAAUAAGAAGGCGACUCUGCCCGCGGCAGCGGAUGCGGAGAAGUGCGCUGAGAGAAGGGAAAUGAAGAGGCUCAGACGAAGAAAGGGGUGCCGCUGGUAACCAGGCGGCGCUCCCCGCACACCCUAGGCGUGGGGCUGGCCUCUCUCGGGAAGUCACCUCAAUGAAGACAGGGAAAGUGCUAAGACACCAGGGAAGAGGGGACAGGCCCUCGACAGCCAGCUCAUUGUGGUCCUUUGACGCAGCAAGGAUUUCAGGCCCAAAAUGUCGCCCAUAUUACCCUGGUCAAAAGGAUGCUUAAUGCGGCCUGGGUAUCAGUGAGGGGUCCUAAGAAUGUGUCCUGUGCAACCCCCCCACACCCUCCCAGCUCAGGAGGGCACAGGACGGCAGACUGGCAGAGCCUGUGGAAGUCAAAAAUGGGCAGCAACUUCAAUGUCAGCACCAGGAGGCUGAAAUGCAAAAAAUGGUCAUGCAGCCAUAAAAUGGAACGAAGAAGAAAUCUCAUCUUUAAGUACUGGCAUGGAACAAAAAUCUAAGUGAAAAAAGGCCAGAAAUAGACCUGAGUGAAAGAAAUUGGGGCUGUGUAGGCUCUGGGUUUGCAAAGGCCUGGAGGAACACCCAAGAAAUCAGGAGACGCUGGACUCCUCCUUCGGUUCUUUCUGAACAUGUUCACGUACUGAACUAUUUAAAAUGUUUUUAAGUGGCCAUGAGAAAAUGAAGCUCUCACUCUGUGCCAGGGUCUGCAUCUGCAUCCCCGGCACCCAGCACACACGGGAACAGCUCAGGACAUGCCCCCAGCAUUCAUCAGGAGCCACUUGGAGGGGGGCUCGGGUGCUUAGAACAGCGGAAAGCAGUGGUUCCCACGAGGUCUCCCCAGGAGACACCUGGCAAUGUCACAAAACAUUUCUGGUUGUCACAACUAGAAAAAGGAAGGAGUGCUCCUGGCAUCUAGUGGGUGGGAGGCAGGGAUGCUGCUGACCACCCUACCGGGCACAGGACAGCCCCACGACAGAACAAUUAAGCCCAAAAUGUCCAUAGUGUCAGGGUUGAGAAAUCCUGGUGUCAAGAAGCUUCCAAUGAGCUGCCAGGCAAGUCCAACCUUGUGUAAAUACACCACCCACGGAGGCAUCCGUAUCCAUUAAGAGGGAAAAUAAUGCCUAAUAUUUCACCUGAUGGCCCUGACUGCACAUUUCAAACAGAAGAAAACAACGGAACCAGGGGCACCUGAGUGGCUCAGUCGGUUAAGCGACUGCCUUCGGCUCAGGUCAUGGUCCCAGGGUCCUGGGAUCGAGUCCCACAUCGGGCUCCCUGCUCCGCGGGGAGACUGCUUCUCCCUCACCCACUCCCUCUGCUUGUGUUCCCUCUCUCGCUGUGUCUCUCGCUGUCAAAUAAAUAAAUAAAAUCUUAAAAAAAAAACAAACAAAACAACGGAACCAGUGAGUCAACAAAUAAAGUCACUGAGCAACUACUAGACAUCUAGCCUACCAAGGGAACUGUCAGGGGAAGAUCCCUGCCCUGGAGGGAAGACAGAGAAAAAAAUAAUAAUAAUAAUAAUAAUAAUGGCUGCCUUUUGGUGACAACUUUUCUCUGAGGCCCUGUUCUAAACACAAGCAAUUUAUUUACUCCUGGCCAGGGUUCUACAAGAAGGUACUUACUGAGUAUUCCCAUUUUACUGAUGAAGAAACUGAGGCCCAGAGGAAAACAGGCUCACAAUGAAGUGGCUGGUCAAAAGAGAAUGAAUGGAAAAUAUAUUCCACAUAGAAUGUGAAACGGAUUGAUUACACAUAGAAAAAAGCUGAGCAGGAGAAAUACCAGGAGUCUGUGAACGAUGGUGUGCUUGCUGUGGGCCAACGACGACCCAGCACUGUUGUUCAGCGUGUGAGAUCCGCAGCCAUACCACUAGGUCUGAUUCCAAGCACUGCCACCAGCCAACUGUGUAUCCUCUGAAUGUGAACUCGAUCUCGGUUUUUCUGUCACUCUUUACAGUCGCCCAGCACGUGGCACAGGGCCUGGCUUGGGGCCUGGCUCAGAGGUGUCCUCAAGGACACACAUCUGACCAGGUAAAUGAGCAACAGGAGAGGGUUAGCAAAGGUCCAAGGUGUGCCAGCAGCCCUGACUCACAGGAAACUCUCGUUCUCUGUCCCCGGCCUAAAAUUGCUCCCAGCAAUCCAAGAAGGCAGGAGGGGUGUGAAGUCAACGGAGAAGGGGACACCAAAGAGGACCUGGCCAUUUCAGGGUCCGAAAGAGAGAAACCAGAGCACUACAAAGGAAAUUCCCUUCUCAACAGGGACUCAGCCAUUCUUGUUUCUUGCCUAAAGAGCCCAUUUCCCCAAAAGGAGGGGAUUAAGUAAGGAUUUAUAUCCCGAGAAGGAUGGGUCCACGCAGCUAAACACAAUUACUGAGAAACCAUAGGGGGAAAUUCAGGAGGUUUUCACAAGCCCCCUAUUUCCCAGCUCUGCAUUCUUCUUGCAGAGAGCUAUUGUCUCUGAGUCAUCUAGAGUUAAAGAGGGGGAAUGACUUUCUCCAGGGAAAACACGCUCCCCGCUGGGAGACCCCCCCCCACUAUGAUGACCAUUUAACCAAAUUUUUUAGUCCCGAUACUUUGCCCUUUUUCUCAACAGACCCUUUUAAGCCUGAGGAUCUCUUUUUAACCCGUCCCUUAAUCCUCGCCUGGAUGCUCUGAUUCUGUCCCCGCAAUAGGAUGCAAGGACCCACGGGGAGCACGAGCACCUCUCUUAAGUGUGGGCUCGGCAGGUUCAUCUUCCCUCCAUCCCGCUCUUGGGCUUGAGUCGAGAGAACCUAAAUCUGCUCUGUCCUGUCUCUACCUCACCAGGCUUGACAGGAGUCUAGACUCUAAAGACACAUAUGUGUUGAACAAUUCCCACCAACUAGUGUUUCUGGUCCCAACCCAAGAAAUAGCAACCUGGUUUCAAUGACAGCCUCCCACCUGCUGUGUGGGGAUAGGAUGGUUACUGGAGGUGGUUAAAGAGAUGAAGGACAAAACCAGGUCAGCCUUAUUAGGAAGGGGGCCCUAGUGACAACUGAUGUGAUGAUCCAGUAACCUAGAUGGGGCACAAUCGCCAGGACAUCAGUAUACAGCUACGGCCUGGGCCAGUGGUGGCCCAACGAAGGACCACAGGCUGAAUUCAGUCCACUCACAGCUGGGUGAUAACGUUUAAAAUUUUAGUCAUCAACAUUUUAAACUGGGGGCAACAGCAUCUAGAAUAAAUCCAGAUUACCACCUUCUCUUAAAAAAACGACAACAAAACAGAAGAUCUGGCCACACAGGGUCCCCAUUUCCACAUGAAACCACCCUCCAGGCUGCCCACCCCCUUAGGAUGGAACAGGAAAUUCCCCAUUUGGCAAGGUCUCCAUUACUCUUGUAACGGUCAAGUUAAUUAAAUCUCACCUUGAAAAUCUCUUAAAGGCAGAGUAAGCAAAGAAAGGCAAGAAGGCAAAUACGGGGAGAAGAGCUAAGGGACGCUUUGCUAGGACGUUCAACCCCAUCAUGAUAAUGCAGGGGAGCAAGAUUGGCCACCCCAAAAUACGUCUCUUUGGCACAAGGAUUAAUUCAGGCCCCUAAAAAUUACUCCUGUUCUUCAUUUCACCUUGCAUCUGAGUCAACCAAAGAAGUGAUGUCCCCGUCUCAAGGGGGAAGCAAGAAAGUGAAUCAUUCUCUGAGUUUCGUCCUAGGCCCCCAAAACCUGGUAACAUCUAAGAAGAACCAGAUCCUGAGCUCGAGGACAUUAGCUUCGAACAAAUCUCAGAACAAAUCUCUGUCUCAACACUGGCCUCAACACCCCUGCCUUAUGUGGUUUAUGGAAUAACACCUAUUGUUCACCUGACUCUCGUGCCUUUGAUGGGACUGUACCCUGGAUUCCUAAAGGAACAUCUACCCUGGGCCCCUUUCCAAUGUAAACCCCUAACCCCAAGGGGCAGGGAGGCUGACCUCUCCUUUUCGGAGUCUCCCACACAUUCAGUCUGCUAUAAUCUAUCACUCACACUAUUUAGUAAACUGCUCUCUCUUCCUCCUGGCUGUAUUUGAUUUCUAUCCUACAGGAAGCCAAGGAUCCUCUUGGUGUGUCCUGCGGGACCCCCUCUGGGUCCUUGGAAUGGGCUGCCGAUGUCUCAAAGAGAUGCACUGCCUUUAUCGUUUGAAUGGAAAAUCCAAUAAUCCAUUUUCUUCCCUUAAUUAGUUUAUAUUUCUUGGAAGAGAUUUUUUUUUUUCCCCAAAAAAAAAAAAAAACCACUUACUAAGCAGCUACUAUAAAUCGCCAGCACCAUGGUGGUCAGGGUGACACAGACCUGGUGCCCAUAACCAUCUAGGCAAAGAGAUGCACAAGUAAAUGAAUUCUACAACAGAGGGUUUAUUUGGGAGGCCAGGGAGAGGGUGGCCCAGCAUAUCCUGUGGUAUUUGCCUCCAGCCAGUGUGUCAAGAUGCCAAAGGGCCUGGCAAAAACUCAGUUCAAUGGGGCCUGGAUAAGAAAUGCCAACUUGAGGGCGCCUGGGUGGCUCCGUUGGUUGGGCGACUGCCUUCGGCUCAGGUCAUGAUCCUGGAGUCCCAGGGUCGAGUCUCGCAUCGGGCUCCCUGCUCAGCGGGGGGUCUGCUUCUCCCUCUGAUUCUCCCUCUGAUCCUCCCCCCCUCUCAUGUGCUCUCUCUCUCUCUCUCUCUCUCAAAUAAAUAAAUAAAAUCUUUAAAAAAAAAAAAAAGAAAUGCCAACUUGAGAACAUAGGGAGACAGCCAUGCUCUCUGUUGGCAGAAGUUUUCGAAAAAACAAGAGGCGCAGGAGGGUCUGAUCAAGCAAAACUUCAUCUCUGAUGUCAUAAUUAUUUAUUCAGCAUAUUCUAUGCUACGUCAAUCCCUAACUAGGUUUUCACCCACAGCAUCCAGCUCAGCACCCACCAGUAUAUUAAAGCUACAGAGUAGUGCCGUCCAAUAGGUCUUCCUAUAAUGACGGGAACGUUCUGUACCUGUGCAGUCAGAUACAGCCGCCUCAGCUCCACGUGACUAUUGGACAACUGAAAUGUGGCUAGUACAACUGUAAUUUUUUUUUAUUUUAAUUAAUGUAAAUUUAAACAGCCAUAUAUAGCAGACAGCGCUGCUGUAAGAAGCUCUGUAUUCAACAGAGAAGAGAGCCAGCCUGGCAAGAAAGCAGAAUACCUCAGAAUCCUCCACCCAUCCCUACUUGAGGGAUUUGGCCAGUGUCUUCAAGGCAUUAAUGAUCUGAUGCCUAGAAAUAUAUAUAUGGACUUGCCUUUGGUUCCUUCCUUAGCCUAGCUUGAAAAUUCUCAAGCCUUUAGUAUGUAUAAGAAUGCCUGAUGAGGGGCGCCUGGAUGGCUCAGUCGUUAAGCAUCUGCCUUCGGCUCAGGUCAUGAUCCCGGGGUCCUGGGAUCGAGCCCCGCAUCGGGCUCCCUGCUCGGCGGGAGGCCUGCUUCUCCCUCUCCCACUUCCCCUGCUUGUGUUCCCUCUCUCGCUGUGUCUCUCUCUGUCAAAUAAAUAAAUAAAUAAAUAAUCUUAAAAAAAAAAAAAAAGGCUGAUCAGAGC